rnacentral:misc_RNA from 1 species
GAUGAAGAACGCAGCGAAAUGCGAUAAGUAAUGUGAAUUGCAGAAUUCAGUGAAUCAUCGAAUCUUUGAACGCACAUUGCGCCCGCCAGUAUUCUGGCGGGCAUGCCUGUUCGAGCGUCAUUACAACCCUCAGGCCCCCGGGCCUGGCGUUGGGGAUCGGCUGAGCCCCCCGUGGGCACACGCCGUCCCCCAAAUACAGUGGCGGUCCCGCCGCAGCUUCCAUCGCGUAGUAGCUAACACCUCGCGACUGGAGAGCGGCGCGGCCACGCCGUAAAACACCCAACUCUUCUGAAGUUGACCUCGAAUCAGGUAGGAAUACCCGCUGAACUUAAGCAUAUCAAUAAGCGGAGGA